CGCGGGGGUCUUGUCUCGUCGAUCUUGUUUUCCCCGUCGUGCUUAGGCUCCCCCCGGCUUUAAGGCGGCGGCUCCGUUCGUGUUCGCGGGAUCAGCUUCUCCCUUUUCUCCCCGCCGCUCUCCUUGCCUCUGCUAUCUUCCGCCGCUUUUGCCUGCGGAGGGCGUGCGUCCCUGCGCCCUCUUCAGGCUCCAACGUUCGGCAACCUGGCCGCCUGUCUCCCCAACCCACUCGCGUCGUUCCCGGUGAUCUCAGCAGCCGCUCCGCCGAUCCCUCCCGACACCUGGCCUCUCGGUUCUUCCCUCCCUCCGCCCUUCGGUACCUACCACUCUUCACCGUCCCUUCGCCCCCACCCCACCCCCCGAACCCCCCAUGUCCCGCAUCCCCGUUGACCGAGAAGAAUUUCCCUGCACGUACCCUCGGCUCCCGUGCAGCGUUCUUGGGGCCAUCUGGGCCACUGAACGUAGCUGGCAACAAGCACACCACCAGGCUCGGGCUCAUCCCGCUCACCUCAGCUCUCGGUGUGCCAGGGAAAACUAGACACCGUCCACAUUUGCCACCGGGCAUCCGUCCAAGGGGCCCUCACACACAAGAAGUCAAAAUAAACCAUAGCGGAAAACAGCUUUAUUAAAAAUCGAUUUAAACGUAGCACUCUCACAUUUUAAAUGACUUCAUACUUUCCAGGUUCUCAAGGUCUAAAUACCUGAAUCCGGGGACAUCCUCCAAAUGCCAGGCAGGAACUGCUCAUUGGCUGUCAUACCCGUCGGUGACCUCAAAUGCAUCUCCAACAGGUUCUGGCUUGCCACGACUUCUGGUUCUUCUCGCACUUGCAUUGUCAAAAACACAACAGUUGAAAAUGUUCGUGGCUUACGGUGUUGUUGAGUUGCAGAAAAAUCCAUCUCUAGGAUAUGGUCAUUUGCACAUAUGAGGUCGGAGAUCUCCCUCAUGUAACUCCUCUCACCAUCCUCAUUUAGAGACCAGUCCUGGGAAGCCUGGGUGGCUCAGCAGUUGAGCGUCUGCCUUUGGCUCAGGGUGCGAUGUCACCACGGUCCCGGGAUCGAGUCCCGCAUGGGGCUCCCUGCUUGGAGCCUGCUUCUCCCUCUGCCUAUGUCUCUGCCUCUCUCGUGAAUGAAUGAAUGAAUGAAUGAAUAAAUAUAAUCUUAAGAAAACA
rnacentral:lncRNA from 12 species